CUGUAUUUUGCUUUUCUUGUCUGUUACUUAUAGCAUCUUUGAGGGAAUACCCUACCUUCAGGAGUGCUGGAUUUAUAUAUUUUGACAUAGGUAUUUAUCGCGGCUCCACACCCUCUUUUUGUUUCUAUGCAAAAGGUUUUCAUGCCAGAACUCCAAGACAUAUGCCACUACUGAUGCUCUGGAGCUGCUUUGCAUCCUCUGGCACUGGAAACCUGCAGUGUGUGGAAGGGGAAGAUAGACUCACUGAAGUAUCAGGAAAUUCUAGGAGAAAACAUCAUGCCGUCUGUGAGGAAGCUUAAGCUUGGGCGUCAUUGGACCUUCCAACAAGACAGUGAUCCCAAGCAUAGCUCAAAUUCCACCAAGACUUGGUUGCAGAAGAAGUCCUGGAAAGUUCUAAAGUGGCCAUCACAGUCACCUAACUUAAACCCCAUGGAAAAUUUCUGGUGGAAUUUGAAGAAGGCUGUUGCAGUACACAAACCCAAGAAUAUUACUUAAUUGGAGGCCAUUGCUCAUUAGUAAUGGGCUAAGAUUUCUCAGGAUCGCUGCCAGAAGCUGGUGUCUGGCUAUAUAUCUCAUUUGCAGCAACUCAUAACAGCAAAAAGGUGC